GUAUGCUCAAUUGGUGGAGCGUGGCGCUAACACUGCCAGGGUUAGCGGUUCGAUUCCCACUGUGGGCACA